UCUCCGUUGGUGAACCAGCGGAGGGAUCAUUAUAGAGUUUUAACACUUCCCAACCCUUGCGAACUGUACCCAUUUCGUUCCCGUUGCUUCAGGCCGCGGGGACGGGGGGGCCCGCAAAGGCAUCCCCCCCCCGCCGGCCCGGGACGGCGGUCUCUACAAACCUUGUUAUCUCUACCUCUGAAACGCGACUGAGCAAACCAAAAAUUAAACAAAACUUUCAAUAACGGAUCUCUUGGCUAUGGCAGCGAUGAAGAACGCAGCAAAUCGGAAGAGCCCACG
rnacentral:misc_RNA from 1 species